UGGUGGACCAGGAUUGCUGUGCGAGGACUCAGGUAGAGCAGCUUCCCGGAGCUGCACAUCUGCCGGGCGAAGCGUCUCUCCGCGGGCCGCCCUCGCUCUCCUCGCUCUCUCGGUGCUCGCCGCCGCCAUGUGGGGCGCGCUGAGGUCAGCUCUGCGGCCCUGUGCUCGGGCCGCUGUCUCCCGGUCGCGCGCCUAUCACGGGGACUCGGUGGCCCGACUAGGCACCCAGCCUGACUCGGGCUCCUCCACCUACCAGGAGAACUACGAGCAGAUGAAAGAUCUAGUGAGUCAACUUCAUGAACGAGCCCAGUAUAUAAGACUAGGAGGCAGCGAGAAAGCCCGGGCCAGGCACACGUCAAGAGGGAAGCUCUUACCCAGAGACAGAAUCGACAAUCUCAUAGACCCAGGGUCUCCCUUUCUGGAAUUCUCCCAGUUUGCAGGUUACCAGUUAUAUGGUGACGAGGAAGUCCCUGCAGGUGGCAUCAUUACGGGCAUUGGGCGAGUGUCAGGAGUAGAAUGCAUGAUCGUGGCCAACGAUGCCACCGUCAAAGGAGGCACCUACUACCCAGUGACGGUGAAGAAACACUUACGGGCCCAAGAGAUCGCCCUGCAGAACAGGCUCCCGUGCAUCUAUCUGGUUGACUCAGGAGGGGCCAACUUACCUCGGCAAGCAGACACCUUUCCAGAUCGAGACCACUUUGGUCGCAUAUUCUAUAAUCAGGCAGUUAUGUCUUCUAAAAAUAUCACACAGAUAGCUGUGGUCAUGGGCUCCUGCACAGCGGGAGGUGCAUAUGUGCCUGCCAUGGCGGAUGAAAACAUCAUCGUCCAGAAGCAGGGUACUAUCUUCUUAGGUGGACCACCCUUGGUGAAGGCAGCUACUGGAGAGGAGGUGUCUGCUGAGGAUCUUGGAGGUGCUGACCUUCACUGCAGGAAGUCUGGCGUCACUGACCACUACGCUCUGGAUGACCACCAUGCCCUCCACCUAACAAGGAAGGUUGUGAGGAGUCUCAAUUAUCAGAAGAAACUGGACGUUACCAUUGAGCCUUCUGAAGAGCCUUUGUUCCCAGCCGAUGAAUUGUACGGGAUAGUCGGUGCGAAUCUUAAGAGAAGCUUUGAUGUCCGGGAGGUCAUUGCUAGAAUUGUGGAUGGAAGCAGAUUCAAUGAGUUCAAGGCGUUAUACGGAGACACACUAGUUACAGGAUUUGCACGAAUAUUUGGAUACCCCGUAGGCAUCAUUGGAAACAAUGGAGUUUUGUUUUCUGAAUCUGCAAAAAAGGGCGCUCACUUUGUCCAGCUGUGCUGCCAGAGAAAUAUCCCCCUGCUGUUCCUGCAGAACAUCACCGGAUUCAUGGUUGGUAGAGACUAUGAAGCUGAAGGGAUUGCUAAAGAUGGUGCCAAGAUGGUGGCUGCUGUAGCCUGUGCCAAAGUGCCUAAGAUCACUGUCAUUAUUGGGGGAUCCUAUGGGGCUGGAAACUACGGCAUGUGCGGCAGAGCAUACAGCCCAAGAUUUCUCUACAUGUGGCCAAAUGCACGUAUCUCGGUGAUGGGUGGAGAGCAGGCAGCCACCGUGCUAGCCACCGUGGCAAAAGACCAGAAGGCACGGGAGGGAAAGCAGUUCUCCAGUGCUGAGGAGGCAGCUUUGAAAGAACCUAUCAUUAAAAGGUUUGAAGAGGAAGGAAACCCUUACUACUCCAGUGCAAGGCUGUGGGAUGAUGGGAUUAUUGAUCCCGUGGACACCAGGCUGGUUCUGGGACUUAGCAUCAGUGCAGCCCUCAAUGCACCCAUCCAGAAGACUGACUUCGGCAUCUUCAGAAUGUAGCCAGGAUACAGAACAUGUUGCCACAUGCACACAUGCCACACGUGCAAAAAUCAACAUGUGUGACUAAGCCUUAAAACUUGGGAUUUACUGGACAUGUAACUGUCACAGGAAUUCUUUUCUUAACAGUAUGUUGCACUUUUUAAUUGUAAAAAUCAGUGAGAAUAUCUGCUUGAUGAGCUUUGACUUUUUAAGAUUUUCCUUGAAGAUAUUUUCCAUGGCUCAUUUUUAUCACCCAUGAAAUGAAGAGAGUAAUUUGCAAUUAUCCAUUUCUCGUGUCCAUGAUUCCUACUGGGCUCUUCCAAUCUCAUGACUUCCAGAUGCUAUCUAGGAGCCACCUGCAGUUCUUCCCCUACCUUUCCUCCGAGUUCAGAUUUGCACAUACCCAGAACGUGACUGAGUAUCGAGGGGUGCUGCGUACUCAUUGUUAAGUCCUGGGUUUUGUCUCCUUCACUGGCUCUUGGACCAGCCCAAUCGUUUCUGCCUUGCACCACUAUUGGCCUUAGAAGUGGCCCAGCCGCAGCUGGUCCUUAGUCCAGCCUGUCUCCUGUGGAGUGGGAAUGGCCAUCCUCACCAGGCCAUGUCGCCAUGCUGCUCCCUUGUGAAGACUCUGCAGUGGCUGAGGAGGAGCCUGUACUUCAGGGCUACCCAUGAUCCUGCUAAUCACAUUCUGACCUCAUCUUUCAAUCUCCUCAUGGGGGAAUGGCUACCCCAAUUUCAGACAUCCAGUUCUUUGAACCUGCUCAGUCCUUCCCACCUGUGGUUUACAAGGCUCCAUCUGACUGUAUCAUUCUACUCUUAGUUUUUCAGCAUUUAACCAUUUAGCAUAAGCUGUUGAUUCUUCCUGAUGUCUGUUACUUUCCCAGGCUAGACUGGCAUUGUACUGUAUGCACUUAUGGAAUAUGAUGUAACUAGGGGUUUCUCUCCUGUCUGCCAGUUCCUGAAUAACCACUCUGAGGCUUAAUAGUAAUUACAAA